UUGUGAGGCUGUGAAAGUCUUAUCGAAUUUCCUGAAGAUAUGGAGAAACUUAUCAACAUAAGAUUUCUCGACAUUACUGACACUUCGAGCCUAAGAGCGGUGCCACUGUAUAUAGCUAAUUUGGUGGGUCUUGAGAUGCUGUCCAAGUUUAUAGUGGGAACGGAAACUGAGUUGAGGUUGAAGGAGUUAAAAAAACUGAAGAACCUUCGAGAGGAAUUGUGCAUCUUUGAUUUGCAUAAGGUUCAAGACGCCGGAGAUGCCAAGGACGUCGAUUUACUCACGAAGGAGGGAAUAUGUCGGUUGACCUUGCAGUGGAGUAAAGAUUUUGAAAAUUCCCGGAAUGAAGAGCUUGAAGCAAAGGUCCUUGACUUUCUUCGACCACACCAAAACGUUGAAAAUCUCGUGAUAUCCUACUAUGGUGGCAUAGAAUUCACUUCAUGGUUAGGAAAUCCCUCACAUGUUCACAUAGUGCAUUUACAUUUACAUGAGUGUCGUAGGGCCAAAGCAUUACCAUCACUUGGACGGCUAUCUUUGCUGAAAGAACUGCACAUCGAAGGUCUAGAUGCAAUAAGUAGGAUAGGUUUUGAAUUUUAUGGAGCUGAAAGUCCUUUUCCGUCCUUGACAACUUUGAAAUUUAGGAACAUGCCAUUGUGGGAGGACUGGUCUCAUUGUGUUGGCUCUGAAGAAGGAGUUGUAUUCCCCAGUCUUGAGCAUCUCGUUCUUAGGGAUUGUCCUAUGUUGAUAAAAAGAUUGCCUAGUCAACUAAGCUCCCUCAUAGAGCUCGAAAUCGACUCCUGUCCGUGUAUGGAUGCCUCGCACUUUGACAUUAUUAGCCUUCCAUCUCUCAAUGAGUUAGAAUUUAAAGGCUGUAAUGAGGGGGUGUUGAAGAGUUUGGUAGACUUGACAUCUCUAACUACUCUUGUCAUAGAAAACACUGCCGAACUGACUUGCUUAAAUCGUGAGUUUACAAGCUUCUUGAUCAAACUAGAGAAGUUGGAGAUGGUACAUUGUGACGAGUUAAUGUUCUUGUGGCAAGAUAGAGAUGUAGUUGAGAAGCUCAGCUGUCUAAAAAGCUUAUGUGUAGAGGGUUGUCCUAAAUUCAUGUCUUUUGUGGCUGGAGAAGAAGAUAUAAAGCUACCCAACAACCUCGAAACUAUCAACUUGUUUGGUUGCAUCAAUUUAGAGAAGCUCCCAAGCAAAAUGCACACCCUCUCCUCUCUUAGACGCUUGAUCUUGAAUUGUCCAAAACUGGUGUCCUUUCUCGAAACAGGCAUAUUGACAUCAGUGAGAUCAAGAAAUAUUAGUGGCUAUGAUCUGUCGCAAUCUCUACCCACUGGAUUAAGUAUUCAUCCCGAAGGACCAAGUAGCAGCAUUAACCACGUCGACAUAACGUCUUGUCUACAAGAAUUAAUAAUCUACGGAUGCAAGUCCCUACAAGCAUCUCCAUUUAGUGAGGGUAGAUUUUUACCUAUGACCCUCAAGAGACUUGAAAUUGGUGACUGCUUGGGAGUGGAGUCGCUUGCGGAGAUAAUUCUAGACGACCGUCAGUCACUUCAAGUGAUUCAUAUUUGGAGUUGCAAAAAUUUGAGAAGCUUACCUCAAGGCCUGCACACACUGUCCCAUCUCACUUCCUUGACAUUGAGAAGGUGUCCUGCUCUGGAGCUAGAGUGCUUUCCCCCUCUUCCUCCUAGCAUCUCGACUUUUUGUCUUGAGGAUUGUCCGAAUAUAAAAGCGUUGCCUAAUCAGUUGAGUCAACUCGCGUGUCUCCAUGAAUUAAGAUGUGACGUUAUGCAGUUUCCCGACGGAGGAUUGCCACCCCAGCUACGAGAACUCUCGGUAACGAUACGCGGGAAUAUGAAGCAGCCGCUUCGGGAGUGGCUUACCCCCCUCACCUCCCUUCAAGAUCUGUGGAUCAUCGGCAACGCUGGAGGAGUGGGGAAGCAGGAGAAUCUUGCGCUUCCACCCCUUCCCUCUUUGCACCGCCUGUGGAUCGAUAAAAUGGAAAAUGUGGAAAGACUGUCUAGCAAUCUCCCUUCGUCUCUCCAGAGGUUAACAAUCCAUAGAUGCCCGAAGCUGAGGGAGUUGCCUCUGGAUGACCUCCCUCCCUCCCUAAAAAAACUCGACAUCUACGAUUGCCGGAUUCUGGAGGAGCGAUGCAAAAAAGGGACCGGCCGCUAUUGGCACCUCAUCCGCGAAAUCCCAGAAAUUAGUUUGAAUUUAAGGACAAUUACUUAAAAGGAUUUGGACUCGAAUAUUACUUGAGGGAGUGUUCGCUUUGGUGCCCUCUCUGCUUAGUAGCUGUGAUCGUGGUGGGUGCGAUGAACCAUCUACGGUUCCUACGGAGAUGGCGUCGGAAUUGUCUGAAUGCCUUCUUCCAAAGUCAUUCUCGCGACAUGACUCCGGACGUGCAUUUGCUCUCAUCAAAAUCAGGAAUCAUUCCGCCAUUUCCUUCUCCUGCUCUACUCUCCUACUUGAAGUCUACCCAGAUUCGGCCAUCAGUUCCCCCUGUCCAUUGAAAUGCUUCGCGUGACUCCCACAAACCGGUGAAGAUGCCGAUGAAUCUGGGCUGUCAUUAAGGGACUGUCGCGUUUGAAUUUGGAUUUCUCAGAUUUCAUUGGAAUUCGAUUGGUGAAUUUACUCAGCGACCUAUGGAAAGGUCUAAUUACCCUUCCUUCACCAUCGCCUUACCAGUAAGUCUAGGAGAAGUUGCUGAAGGCCCUGGAUGUGAGUUUGCUUCUCAUUGUAGGGUCGAAGGGACAUGCCACUGCAGGCUUUUUUGUUAAGAUCUUGACUUUUGUGCAAACUUUUCCAUGAUCUCUUGGUUCUCGAAUUUCUCAUGAGGAUAGCAUUCACCAGAAGUGCAAGAAACUCAGUAUUAACUUUCAGUCUGCAUUUACAAAUACAACAUACUUAUUCCCACACACGUGAUCUUUAUUUCUGAGCAUACUGUGAUGCACAUCAAGAUCUAUGUGGGAAUCAGAUUUAUUGCGCCUCAACCCUUCCAUUCCAGCAGUUUACUCACCAUCCAAGAUUUGGGAACGGUUUAGUCAGUUUAAGUGCAGAUGCAAAUGAAGGAAUUUUGCAUCCUGGAUAGCACGCAAUGAAAUCUCUGCUUGUUGUUCAUUUUGAUAACUAUUUCUAGUCUGCUUCCUGGAAUCAAAGUUGCAUAGCGCUGCAGUUGCUGUUUGGCAAAGUUUAAAAGAGCUUUCUUUUGGAAGGGAGAUCCUGAUACUAAAGAGGGUACAAAACUUAGAUGGGACACCGUUUGUCUUCCUAAUCUGUUUGGCGGGCCUUGGCAUUGGAAGACUGGAUUUUUAAAUUCUUGCUUGUGUUUUGAACAGUCUGUGGAGCAUUUUGUUGAGGCCAAAGGAUUUGCUGUAAUUCGUAACUCUCAUUGGACGUGGCCAGCUGCUAGGUCUGAAGAGUUGGUUUCCACCUAAGCUGCAGUUUGUGGUGUGAUUUUUCCUAUUUCCUCAGCUGCAGAAAGAGUCGUAUGCACAGCUUCGUCAAAUGGUUGCCUUUUCGUUGCUCAAGAAAUUGUCAGAAACAAGAGUGCUCCCCUAAUGUGCCAAGUUUGGCCUUGUUUCUUGGUUGGUAAUACAUGAUAAACUUCCCACUUUUCAGAGGAUUAACAGUUGGUCUGUUGGGAAUACUAGAUCUUUUUGCUGGUUCUGUAAUCUAAGCACUAUAUCUUGGUGUCAUCUCUUUUUUAAGUGUAGUUUCUCUAAUCAACUGUGGAGCAAGGUAGUGCAGCUUUGUUCUGUCAAACUAUCAUUGAAUCUCACUGUCAUCUUAUUCUUGAAGUUUAAUGGAAUCAAAAUUAUCAGGUUCUUUUUUAAGCAUAAUUUUGAGAGUUGUCUUGGUCUUUAAAACAAGAUUGGCACUUAUAAGCAUCGUAGGUUAUGUCUUGCUUGGAACAGAACUUUGUGAAAACUAUCCCACUAGUAAGAUAGUUUUUUUUUUUUUUUUUUUUUUUUUUUUGGCAUUCAUGGUAAUUUCGCUUUGUUAUGUCCGAAGCAAAUAUCACCUCCAAAUUGGGCUUUGCUAGCAUAAUAGUCUUUGGACUACUACCAAAAUAAUGGCAUGUUAUGAGUUACAAAUUCUUGAAGAAGUGGAUCUUACAACAAUUUACAAUUAUUUGUUAUUUGUUUUUUUUGUGGUUAAAACAGUCUGUUAAUCUCAUAGUAGAUUAAGAACAGUCACUUAAUCAUUUCUUCUCAAAAUUUGAACUAUUUCUUGUAGUUAUUUGCCAUGAUACCAGCAUUACAAUGAAGAAUUUAUUUGGGAUGGUCGGUGGUAUUUGUGCUUGGGCUUACUUUUAAAAAGCAAGUUUGCCAAUGAAGACCUCUUCCAAGAAGCAGCCCUACGUCUUUGACAAGAAAAUCCAACUUAUGAAGCCUUUUCUCUAUUGCCUAUUUAUUUAGGACCAUUGAAGGGAAAGUUCUUGACUGUUUUGAGCAAUGCAGAUAUUUACAUGUUUUCGACUUUCAAAGCCUGGAGGUGCUGUGGCUGUCAAUGUAUUGGAACCUUCAUCUGUUCCUUUUUAUCAGUGAUUAAAUUUCCUGAAGGUGUGUCUGCAUAUGUUCUGCAUCUUGUUUCAUACUCAUCAUAGUCAAAGGACUGGGCAGAGCAAAAAAAGGUCUUUUAAAUCACUGUCAAUCUCUACAUACUAUUUUGGAUCCCAUAUAGAAGAUGGUCGUUGUUGAGGGAGUCUUAUACACAUUUUAUGGACUUUUGUGAACUUAGAGUAUAUAUGCAGAGUAAUAGAUGUUAAUCAAUUACGGCUACGUGACUUGGAAUCUUCCAGUCUUAUGAUUAUUCAAAACAUAUGCAGAUUGUCAUAAAUUGAUAGAAUUAGUACUUCCUAUGCAUGCUAUGUGAAAAGUUCUCACUUUGCCUUGAGCCCUCUUUCACUUUCGAUAAUUAUAUAAUCCCUGCCAAUGGAUGGGCGAAGUCUCUAGCUUCAAAAUAUAUGAUUGAGCAUUGUGACUUAACUGCGUAUGGUUCGAGCCAUUGAUUGUCUUAUGCAUCAUUGUACUUCUAGGAUAUGUUAUUCCUUCCCCCUUUGAUGAAGACUCGGGACAGAUGUUCAGAAUUCAUGGCUAGGUUUCUUUUUGCAUUUGCAGGUUACUGUAUUCAAGCAAUCUGCAAGUAAAUUAUCAUCUCUGAGUGAAAAGCUGAUUGGUAUCACAGCAGACAACUUCUGAUAGCUUUUGGGCGUAACUUGGGGUGUAAAAAAUACCUCUUUCAUCAUCUCCUUCCCCAUGUGGUCUACACCUCAGUCACCUACCUAUGCUUUGCCACUCCACUCCGUUGUCCUCACCUCCAUCACCGUCUCCAUCUCAUGAAGAUUUCAUUAAAAUCAAGAUUACAUUGGAAUUCCAUGGGUGAAGUUUGUUGGUACGACCCAGUGACCAAUAGAAAGGUCUAUAUACCCUUUCCUUCACCAUUGCCUCACCAGUAUUUAGGCUAGGAGAAGAUGCUGAAGGGGGACCUUGGAUGUGAGAUUGCUCCUUGUUGUAGAGAAGAAGGGACAUGCUAUUGCAGGCUCUGUUCUUAAGAUCUGGACUUUUCCAUGAUUAGUUGGUUCUCAAAUUACUCACGGGGAUAGCAUUCACCAGAAGUGGAAUGAACUCGGUAUUAACUUUCUGUCUGCAUUUACCGAUACAAAGUACUUAUUCCCACUCACAAUCUUCUCAUUUCUGAGCAUACUGUGAUACACAUUGAAAUCUAUGGGGGAAAUGGAUUUAUUGCGCUUCAACCCUUCCAUUCCAGCAAUGAAGGCAUUUCUUGGACUGGAUUGCACUCAAUGAAAUCUUUGCCCUUUGUUCAUUUUGAUGACUAUUCAUAUUUUGCUUCAUGGAAUCAAAAGUGCAUAGCCCUGGACUCUGGAGUUGCUGGCUGGCAAAGUCGGCCAAAAUUAUCUGCUGUAUUUGGUAACUCUCAUUGGAAGUGGCCCACUGCUACGUCUAAAGAGUUGGUUAUCGUCCAAGGUGCAGUUUGUAGUGUGAUUUUUCCUAAUUCCUCAGCUGCGGGCAAAUUUGGAUGCCCAGCUUCGUCAAAUGGUUGCCUUAACUCUUUUGUUGCUUGGGAGAUUGUUCGAAACAAGGGUGCUAAUGUUGACUGGCACAAACCUGUGUGGUUCUCCCCUAGUGUUGCAAGAUUUGGCUUUAUAUCUUGGUCGGUAAUACAUGAUAAACUCCCUACUUUUGAGAGGAUUAACAGUUGGUCUGUUGGGAGUACUAGAUUUCUCUGCUUGUUCUGUAAUCUAAGCAUUGAAUCUUGCUGUCAUCGAUUUCUUGAGUGUAGUUUUUCUAACGGACUACAGAGCAAGGUACUGCAGCUUUGUUCUGUAAAACUAAUUACUGAAUCUCACUGUCAUCUAAUUCUUGAUGUUUAAUGACAUCAAAAUUAUCAAGUUAUGUUAGGAAUAGUUUUGAGAGU